rnacentral:rRNA from 1 species
AAUAAACGCUGGCGGCGUGCUUAACACAUGCAAGUCGAGCGAGAAAGGUCUUCGGACUGAGUACAGCGGCGGACGGGUGAGUAACGCGUAGGAAUCUACCUUCUAGUGGAGAAUACUCUCGAGAAAUCGAGCUUAAUACUGCAUAAGUCUUGAAAAAGAGAAAGAUGGCCUCUUUGCUGUCGCUAGAAGAUGAGCCUGCGUACUAUUAGCUAGUUGGUAGGGUAAAGGCCUACCAAGGCGAUGAUGGUUAGCCGGCCUGAGAGGGCGUACGGCCACACUGGAACUUAGACACGGUCCAGACUCCUACGGGAGGCAGCAGUGAGGAAUAUUGCGCAAUGGGCGAAAGCCUGACGCAGCGACGCCGCGUGGAGGAUGAAGGUCUUAGGAUUGUAAACUUCUGUUAAGCGGGAAGAAAGGCAAAGUUUGAAUACAGCUUUGCUAUGACGGUACCGCUAGAGAAAGCACCGGCUAACUUCGUGCCAGCCGCCGCCGUAACAC